CCGCUGAAAGAACUUAUUCAAUGUCAUUCAUCUCCUUGAAUGGUCUCGAUGGACAUGGGAUUCACAAAAGUAUUGCUAAUUUUGUCCUGUUGCUUUGUUUCAACUGUGUUCUGUCGAGGAUGGGACGACUUGGUGAACGUCAACAGAGAUGUAGCUGACGUGAACAGGGAUGGCGUGGUGACGAGGUGGGAAAGGGCUUCCGUAAUAAUGAAGUGGAUCCACCCCUUCAUCAUAUACACGGUUUAUUUGCUGUCAUCUACUCCCGUUAUGUUGGGAUAUAUUUUAGGAAGGAUUUAUGUUGAUUUGAUAACCACAAAUUUGCCGCCGGUGCAAGAUUUGUUGACAGUACCGGCUCAGUUAUUAUGAGUAAACAUAUAACGUAUCCCCACGAUUAAGACUUGUAAAUUAUUAAUAAUAACAAAAAUUUAAGUGAGGAUGAGUAAUUAACUUAUUAGCAUUAUUAACACUAACUUUUACACUUUAUCCUUGUUUAUUUAUUUUUGUUUUAAAUAGGUUUAGACAUUUUGUAUUAUCUAUUACCAGUAUUUAUUACAAGUAGGAAAUAAAGAUGCAUGCAUAUAUCGCAAA